rnacentral:rRNA from 1 species
GAUGAACGCUAGCGGCAGGCUUAAUACAUGCAAGUCAAGGGGGUAGCAAUACAACCGGCGCACGGGUGAGUAACGCGUACACAACAUACCAUAUACUGGAGUAUAGCUUUGGGAAACUGAAGGUAAUCCUCCAUAACAUUGCGAGAGGGCAUCUGAUUGCAAUUAAAGUUUCGGCGGUAUAUGAUUGGUGUGCGUUUGAUUAGCUAGUUGGUAGGGUAACGGCCUACCAAGGCGACGAUCAAUAGCUGGCGUGAGAGCGCGACCAGCCACACUGGAACUGAGACACGGUCCAGACUCCUACGGGAGGCAGCAGUAGGGAAUAUUGGACAAUGGAGGAAACUCUGAUCCAGCCAUGCCGCGUGAUAGAUGAAGGCCCUCUGGGUUGUAAAUAUCUUUUAUCUGGGAAGAAACACUCCUAUUCUUAGGAACUUGACGGUACCAGAGGAAUAAGCACCGGCUAACUCCGUGCCAGCAGCCGCGGU